rnacentral:lncRNA from 1 species
CGCCCCCGGCGCCGGCACGCGGACCCGAACGAGGCGACAAGGUGGCACGUACCUGCCUCUUCUUGGAGUAUGGACGAGUCGAACCGGGCACAAGCAUGGAGCUGCGGGUGAGUCCCGGCUGGCGCUGGCGCGGCGCAGUGAGCACCAGCUGACGAAGAGGGCUCCCCGGCCUCGGCUCCUGCCUGACUCUCUCCCACCUCCGCCGGGGGCCCAGAAGGGACCUCCCCGGGAAAUCGGCGCCACCCAGCGGGCAGCCGCCUCAUCGCGCCUGGGCCGGCAGAGCCACACCCCGCGUCUCGCGUCACUGAGUCGCGUCACGGCUAUUGGCUUGUUCCUACUGUGGCGUCAUUAGAGCCCGGCCUCCGGCUGGGGCCACCCAGGCAACCGAUAUACACAGAGAACCACGUGGAGGAAAAGCACGCGAGUUUGGAGCGGGUGGAGCAGGAACAGAGGUGGACUGGAAUGUCACACGACGGGGCAGCUGGAAGGGCACCACUGAGUUCAGUACUUCAAAAUUGCCGUGCUCUACCUCUCCCCAGUGCACAAAAACACUCUCCACACCAAGCUGCUGCUGCUGGGGGAUGGAGGGAUGGCGUCAGCGAUUCAAGACUGUUUUUCCUACCUGUUCAGCACUUCUUUCAGCGAUAUGAAGUUAAAUCCAGGUCCCACUGACCCCAGCUCUUCCUUGUGCCGGGCAAAGAUGCCUCCUGUGGGUCUGCACAGGACAUGUUUCUCCUUGAGUGUGUUGGGGACAUUCCAGGCCUGAGAGUGUCCUGAGGCUGAGAGCCCCUGUUGAGCAGAAGAGAGCUGAUGGCCCUCUUGCCUGGCCAGGACUCUCUGAAGGACUCCAGCUCCAACAUUUUCUCACUAGUAAAUGAGAUGAUUUACUCUUGA